AGCAGCCGCGGUAAUUCCAGCUCCAAUAGCGUAUAUUAAAGUUGUUGCAGUUAAAAAGCUCGUAGUUGAAUUUCGGGGUCAGUAGGUUGGUCGUGCCACGGGUAUGUACUGGUCUCACUGAUUCCUCCUUCCUGAUGAACCGUAAUGCCAUUAAUUUGGUGUUGCGGGGAAACUGGACUGUUACUUUGAAAAAAUUAGAGUGUUUAAAGCAAGGCUAACGCUUGAAUACAUUAGCAUGGAAUAAUGAAAUAGGACGUUGAUCUUAUUUUGUUGGUUUCUAGGAUUGACGUAAUGAUUAAUAGGGAUAGUUGGGGGCAUUAGUAUUCAAUUGUCAGAGGUGAAAUUCUUGGAUUUAUUGAAGACUAACUACUGCGAAAGCAUUUGCCAAGGAUGCUUUCAUUAAUCAAGAACGAAAGUUAGGGGAUCGAAGACGAUCAGAUACCGUCGUAGUCUUAACCAUAAACCUAUGCCGACUAGGGAUCGGAUGAUGUUAAUUUUUUAAUGACUCAUUCGGCGCCUU
rnacentral:rRNA from 1 species